rnacentral:rRNA from 1 species
CCUACGGGAGGCAGCAGUAGGGAAUUUUCGGCAAUGGGGGGAACCCUGACCGAGCAACGCCGCGUGAACGAAGAAGUUAUUCGUAAUGUAAAGUUCUUUUAACAGGGAAGAAAGAGAAAUUUGACGGUACCUGAAGAAUAAGCUCCGGGUAACUACGUGCCAGCAGCCGCGGUAAUACGUAGGGAGCAAGCGUUAUCGGGAAUUAUUGGGCGAAAAGGGUGCGUAGAUGGCAUAGUAAGUCUUUUGUAAAAAUGCUGGGCUAAACCCAGUAGGGCAAAAGAUACUGCAAAGCUAGAGUAUGAGAGAGGAAAGUGGAACUACAUGGGGAGCGGUAAAAUGCGUAAAUAUAUGUAAGAACACCAGUGGCGAAGGCGGCUUGCUGGGUCGAUACUGACAUUGAGGCACGAAAGCGUGGGGAGCAAACAGGAUUAGAUACACCAGUAGUC